rnacentral:rRNA from 1 species
CAGUCGAACGGAUAUCUUCGGAUAUGAGUGGCGAACGGGUGAGUAACACGUAGGGAACCUGCCUGCAUGAGCGGGAGAACUUCUGGAAACGGAAGCUGAUACCGGAUGAGCAAAGAGGAGGCAUCUUCUUUUUGGAAAAGGGGACAAGAGUCCCGCAUGCAGAUGGACCUGCGGUGCAUUAGCUGGUUGGAGAGGUAACGGCUCACCAAGGCGACGAUGCAUAGCCGGCCUGAGAGGGCGGACGGCCACACUGGGACUGAGACACGGCCCAGACUCCUGCGGGAGGCAGCAGUAGGGAAUUUUCGUCAAUGGGGGGAACCCUGAACGAGCAAUGCCGCGUGAGCGAGGAAGGUCUUCGGAUCGUAAAGCUCUGUUGCCGGGGACAAAAGGCAGAAAGAGUGGAAAGCUUUCUGAGUGAUGGUACCCGGCGAGGAAGUCACGGCUAACUACGUGCCAGCAGCCGCGGUAAUACGUAGGUGGCGAGCGUUAUCCGGAAUGAUUGGGCGUAAAGGGUGCGCAGGCGGCCGGGCAAGUCCGCAGUAAAAACUGGAGGCUCAACCUUCAGGGGCUGCGGAAACUGUCCGGCUGGAGAGCAGGAGAGGACGGUGGAACUCCAUGUGUAGCGGUAAAAUGCGUAGAUAUAUGGAAGAACACCGGUGGCGAAGGCGGCCGUCUGGCCUGCAUCUGACGCUGAGGCACGAAAGCGUGGGGAGCAAAUAGGAUUAGAUACCCUAGUAGUCCACGCUGUAAACGAUGAGGA